GCUGGGUAGCUACGUGCGGACAGGAUAACCGCUGAAAGCAUCUAAGCGGGAAGCCCCUCCCAAGAUGAGUUCUCACUGGGGCUUGAAGCCCCCUGAAGGGCCGUCGGAGACCACGACGUUGAUAGGCGCGGUGUGGAAGCGCAGCAAUGCGUGCAGCUGACGCGUACUAAUUGCCCGUGAGGCUUGACCCUAUAACACCCAA
rnacentral:rRNA from 1 species